GCCCGCUGACCCAACGGCUAGAGGUGCGCGGUACCGGCCCCCUCGCGGGGAGAUCCGUACGCAAUCCGCAGAGUUCCCCGGUUCGAGUCCGGGGGCGGGCA
rnacentral:tRNA from 1 species